UGGCGGCAGGCCUAACACAUGCAAGUCGAGCGGUAGAGAGAAGCUUGCUUCUCUUGAGAGCGGCGGACGGGUGAGUAAUGCCUAGGAAUCUGCCUGGUAGUGGGGGAUAACGUUCGGAAACGGACGCUAAUACCGCAUACGUCCUACGGGAGAAAGCAGGGGACCUUCGGGCCUUGCGCUAUCAGAUGAGCCUAGGUCGGAUUANCUAGUUGGUGAGGUAAUGGCUCACCAAGGCGACGAUCCGUAACUGGUCUGAGAGGAUGAUCAGUCACACUGGAGCUGAGACACGGUCCAGACUCCUACGGGAGGCAGCAGUGGGGAAUAUUGGACAAUGGGCGAAAGCCUGAUCCAGCCAUGCCGCGUGUGUGAAGAAGGUCUUCGGAUUGUAAAGCACUUUAAGUUGGGAGGAAGGGCAGUUACCUAAUACGUGAUUGUUUUGACGUUACCGACAGAAUAAGCACCGGCUAACUCUGUGCCAGCAGCCGCGGUAAUACAGAGGGUGCAAGCGUUAAUCGGAAUUACUGGGCGUAAAGCGCGCGUAGGUGGUUAGUUAAGUUGGAUGUGAAAUCCCCGGGCUCA
rnacentral:rRNA from 1 species